AAUUGCAGAAAAAACGAAUAAAACAUUCUCUAGCCGAAGACUUGGAGUGGUCAGCCUCUGCCCCUCUGUGGGUGAGUUAAAAGAAAGGUGGCCAGCAUUAUUCACUGAGGCUCAGCUCAUCGAAGAGUUCAGACGCAUCACCACAGUUUCUUUGGUGGAGACAUUCAUGCUGAAACUUGAUGAGUACACACCAGGUCUUUUGCAGCUUAUGGCUGCCAAAGGAGGAGCUGCUGGUUCCAAGAUGAGACCUCUGCUGGACACUUUGAAUGACGUAUGUUAUUUGACUUUUUUCACAAAUAUGUAAUUAUGGAGGGCUGCAGUGGGUAGCAAGAAGGUCCUGGGUUCAAAUCCCGGCCCAGGGUCUUUAUGCAUGGAGUUUGCAUGUUCUCCCUGUGCAUGUGUGGGUUCCCCCGGGUACUCCAGCUUCCUCCCACAGUCAGAAAGCAUGGCUGUUAGGUUAAUUGGUCUCUCCAAAUUGUCCUUAGGUUUGAGUGUGUGCGUGCAUGGUUGUUUAUCCUGUCUGUCUCUAUGUUUCCUUGUGAUUGACUGUCCAGGGUGUACCCAGCCUCUCACCUGUUGAAAGUUGGAGAGAGGCAUCAGCCAUGUUUUUGUUUUUAAGUAAUUCAGUCUUAAUGUAAGUAAAUCACUCGACUUAGUCUUUUCACUAAAUUGUAUCUCCCUACAGACACAGAGCAUUGAGAAGAAAAGGGAUCUCCUUAUCUGCUGCCUCAUUAGCUACCUCGGGGAAAGACAAGAAGAUCUUUUUCAUGACUGCCAGGAAUGUGAGGAUUACACAGACAAUAUGAUGAAGGUGAUCGUGAUCCACAACAUCAUGGCUGAGGAGGAUCCAUCAGAUGUGUCCAUUGUGAUUGAGGGAAACCAAGUGAUGGAGGGAUGUGGAAGCCGAACAAAGGCAUGUGUACUGCUGAUGGGACUGAUAUAUGCCCUCAACCUCGAAUAUCCGAAGGAGCUGAAGAACACAUCUGACACUUUUCAAAAACUGUUUUUGGAACUUGACGGGGCGAAACUACUGAAAAGGGUCCACGGCCUCAAAAAUAAGCUUAUGCAAUGCACACACCUUUCCCCUCUUGUUCCCAGAGGACAUAGCUUGGUGGAGCUGUAAUUUUUCUUCUGACAGCAAGCACAGAAACUAUUGCAUGUUGGUGUUAGUGUUCUGUUCUAUCUAUCCAUAUGUUUGAUAACGUACAUGCACAGAAACAACUUGUAGAGUUUCUGUGCUUUUGGCUUUUAAAAUGAACUGAGUGGCCUUUGAAAGUGUUGUCUGCAUUAGCUGUU